CGUAGGGUGCGAGCGUUAAUCGGAAUUACUGGGCGUAAAGUGUGCGCAGGCGGCAAAGCAAGUCGAGUGUGAAAGCCCCGGGCUUAACUUGGGAAUUGCGCUCGAAACUACUUUGCUGGAGUGUGGCAGAGGAAGGUGGAAUUCCACGUGUAGCGGUGAAAUGCGUAGAGAUGUGGAGGAACACCAAUGGCGAAGGCAGCCUUCUGGGCCAACACUGACGCUCAUGCACGAAAGCGUGGGGAGCAAACAGGAUUAGAUACCCUGGUAGUCCACGCCCUAAACGAUGACGACUAGUUGUUGGAGGAGUUAAAUCCUUUAGUAACGCAGCUAACGCGCGAAGUCGUCCGCCUGGGGAGUACGGUCGCAAGAUUA
rnacentral:rRNA from 1 species